AUGAUAACAUUAUGAGCAAAUAGUGAUAGUUUGACUUUCCAAUUUGAAUGCCCUACAUUUCUUUCUCUUGCCGGCUUGCUCUGGCUAGGACUUCCACAUAGAAGUGGAAGUCUUCCAUUUCCCAGUGGGAAUGCUUUCAACUUUUCCCCAUUUGGUAUAAUGUUGACUGUGGGUUUGUCCUAUAUGGCUUUUAUUAAUUUAAGUAUCAAGGAAUGCCAAACUUCAGACUGUGAACAUGGACAUAGAUGGUUGAAGUGAAAUGAAGUGGAAAUCACUGAUGUUUCUAAGGAAGUUCAGGGACUCACAGAGGUGGCUGAAUGCUUGGGCCAACAAACAUGUCCUACUGGAAUGCUCUCUCGUUCUGCACCUCCCACCCUGCACUUCACUCUAUUAACUACUAGCUGCCCUGAUGGCCUCAAUUCAGGUAUGACUUCCUCCAGAAAGAAGUCUUGGACCACUGACACCUAGGUAAGAUUCCAUCCUCCAUCCUUCUAUAGCACUUUCUGCUUACCAUAGGCAUGGCAUUUGUCCUGACAUGUUUUGAUUCCCUGGUUACUUUGCUGUAUGCCUAGUUAUAGACUAAACAUUCGCCAAUGACAGGACCUGCUGUAUACUCAAUGUGUAGCUGAGUGCUUUGUGCAUAAUAAGCCCUUAAUGAGUGUGUGAUGAAUUGGUCUGUUGAAUUAAAGAUUCCCAGUGUCAAGAUCUUCUUGUGUUUACACAAAUAGCUGGUCAGGUCAGUAAAAAAUAAAUAAAUGUGAGCUAUAAUCUGUAAUUCUGGG
rnacentral:lncRNA from 13 species